rnacentral:rRNA from 1 species
UUGGAGGGCAAGUCUGGUGCCAGCAGCCGCGGUAAUUCCAGCUCCAAUAGCGUAUAUUAAAGUUGUUGCAGUUAAAAAGCUCGUAGUUGAAUUUCGGGAUCAAUUUAUUGGUCGUGCCAACGGUACGCACUGGUACAAUUGGUUUCUCCCUUCUGACGAAGCAUGAUGUCAUUAAUUUGAUGUCGUGGGGAAUCAGGACUGUUACUUUGAAAAAAUUAGAGUGUUUAAAGCAGGCUUUGGCUUGAAUACAUUAGCAUGGAAUAAUGAAAUAGGACGUUUGAUCUUAUUUCGUUGGUUUCUAAGAUCGACGUAAUGAUUAAUAGGGAUAGCUGGGGGCAUUAGUAUUCAAUUGUCAGAGGUGAAAUUCUUGGAUUUAUUGAAGACUAACUACUGCGAAAGCAUUUGCCAAGGAUGUUUUCAUUAAUCAAGAACGAAAGUUAGGGGAUCGAAGACGAUCAGAUACCGUCGUAGUCUUAACCAUAAACUAUGCCGACUAGGGAUCGGAUGAUGUUAAUUUUUUAAUGACUCAUUCGGCGCCUUACGGGAAAC